rnacentral:rRNA from 1 species
GACGAACGCUGGCGGCGUGCUUAACACAUGCAAGUCGAACGGAAAGGCCCUGCUUUUGUGGGGUGCCCGAGUGGCGAACGGGUGAGUAACACGUGAGUAACCUGCCCUUGACUUUGGGAUAACUUCAGGAAACUGGGGCUAACACCGGAUAGGAGCUCCUGCUGCAUGGUGGGGGUUGGAAAGUUUCGGCGGUUGGGGAUGGACUCGCGGCUUAUCAGCUUGUUGGUGGGGUAGUGGCUUACCAAGGCUUUGACGGGUAGCCGGCCUGAGAGGGUGACCGGCCACAUUGGGACUGAGAUACGGCCCAGACUCCUACGGGAGGCAGCAGUGGGGAAUAUUGCACAAUGGGCGGAAGCCUGAUGCAGCAACGCCGCGUGCGGGAUGACGGCCUUCGGGUUGUAAACCGCUUUCGCCUGUGACGAAGCGUGAGUGACGGUAAUGGGUAAAGAAGCACCGGCUAACUACGUG